UUAAAUUGAAGAGUUUGAUCAUGGCUCAGAUUGAACGCUGGCGGCAGGCCUAACACAUGCAAGUCGAACGGUAACAGGAAACAGCUUGCUGUUUCGCUGACGAGUGGCGGACGGGUGAGUAAUGUCUGGGAAACUGCCUGAUGGAGGGGGAUAACUACUGGAAACGGUAGCUAAUACCGCAUAACGUCGCAAGACCAAAGAGGGGGACCUUCGGGCCUCUUGCCAUCGGAUGUGCCNAGAUGGGAUUAGCUAGUAGGUGGGGUAACGGCUCACCUAGGCGACGAUCCCUAGCUGGUCUGAGAGGAUGACCAGCNACACUGGAACUGAGACACGGUCCAGACUCCUACGGGAGGCAGCAGUGGGGAAUAUUGCACAAUGGGCGCAAGCCUGAUGCAGCCAUGCCGCGUGUAUGAAGAAGGCCUNCGGGUUGUAAAGUACUUUCAGCGGGGAGGAAGGGAGUAAAGUUAAUACCUUUGCUCAUUGACGUUACCCGCAGAAGAAGCACCGGCUAACUCCGUGCCAGCAGCCGCGGUAAUACGGAGGGUGCAAGCGUUAAUCGGAAUUACUGGGCGUAAAGCGCACGCAGGCGGUUUGUUAAGUCAGAUGUGAAAUCCCCGGGCUCAACCUGGGAACUGCAUCUGAUACUGGCAAGCUUGAGUCUCGUAGAGGGGGGUAGAAUUCCAGGUGUAGCGGUGAAAUGCGUAGAGAUCUGGAGGAAUACCGGUGGCGAAGGCGGCCCCCUGGACGAAGACUGACGCUCAGGUGCGAAAGCGUGGGGAGCAAACAGGAUUAGAUACCCUGGUAGUCCACGCCGUAAACGAUGUCGACUUGGAGGUUGUGCCCUUGAGGCGUGGCUUCCGGAGCUAACGCGUUAAGUCGACCGCCUGGGGAGUACGGCCGCAAGGUUAAAACUCAAAUGAAUUGACGGGGGCCCGCACAAGCGGUGGAGCAUGUGGUUUAAUUCGAUGCAACGCGAAGAACCUUACCUGGUCUUGACAUCCACGGAAGUUUUCAGAGAUGAGAAUGUGCCUUCGGGAACCGUGAGACAGGUGCUGCAUGGCUGUCGUCAGCUCGUGUUGUGAAAUGUUGGGUUAAGUCCCGCAACGAGCGCAACCCUUAUCCUUUGUUGCCAGCGGUCCGGCCGGGAACUCAAAGGAGACUGCCAGUGAUAAACUGGAGGAAGGUGGGGAUGACGUCAAGUCAUCAUGGCCCUUACGACCAGGGCUACACACGUGCUACAAUGGCGCAUACAAAGAGAAGCGACCUCGCGAGAGCAAGCGGACCUCAUAAAGUGCGUCGUAGUCCGGAUUGGAGUCUGCAACUCGACUCCAUGAAGUCGGAAUCGCUAGUAAUCGUGGAUCAGAAUGCCACGGUGAAUACGUUCCCGGGCCUUGUACACACCGCCCGUCACACCAUGGGAGUGGGUUGCAAAAGAAGUAGGUAGCUUAACCUUCGGGAGGGCGCUUACCACUUUGUGAUUCAUGACUGGGGUGAAGUCGUAACAAGGUAACCGUAGGGGAACCUGCGGUUGGAUCACCUCCUUACCUUAAAGAAGC
rnacentral:rRNA from 1 species